rnacentral:rRNA from 1 species
UACGUAGGUCCCGAGCGUUGUCCGGAUUUAUUGGGCGUAAAGCGAGCGCAGGUGGUUUAUUAAGUCUGGUGUAAAAGGCAGUGGCUCAACCAUUGUAUGCAUUGGAAACUGGUAGACUUGAGUGCAGGAGAGGAGAGUGGAAUUCCAUGUGUAGCGGCGAAAUGCGUAGAUAUAUGGAAGAACACCGGUGGCGAAAGCGGCUCUCUGGCCUGUAACUGACACUGAGGCUCGAAAGCGUGGGGAGCAAACAGG